CUGGAAGAUGAGUUUGUGAGAAAGAUGAGAGAAGUCAGACUUGCAGCCAGCAGCAUGGGGAUCCCCCAAGUGGCUAUUGUCACCAAAAUUGAUGAAGCCUGUCCAGAGGUCAGAAAAGAUAUAAAGAACGUGUAUAAGAGCAAGUUCCUGAAGAAAAGGAUGGAGGAAUUG